GACGAACGCUGGCGGCGUGCUUAACACAUGCAAGUCGAACGGAAAGGCCCUGCUAUUGUGGUGUGCUCGAGUGGCGAACGGGUGAGUAACACGUGAGUAACCUGCCCUUGACUUUGGGAUAACUUCAGGAAACUGGGGCUAAUACCGGAUAGGAGCUCAUGCUGCAUGGUGGGGGUUGGAAAGUUUCGGCGGUUGGGGAUGGACUGGCGGCUUAUCAGCUUGUUGGUGGGGUAGUGGCUGACCAAGUGUUUGACGGGUAGCCGGCCUGGGAGGGUGACCGGGGACAAGGGGCCUACGAGACGGACCAGAGUGGAACGGGAGGCAGUAGGGGGGAGUAUGACACAGUGAGAGGACGUCGGAUGCGGAGACGCUGGGGGCGGGAAGACGGCCUUCGGGGUGUAAACCGCUUUAGCCUGAGACGAAGCGUGAGUGACGGUAAUGGGUAAAGAAGCACCGGCUAACUACGUG
rnacentral:rRNA from 1 species